CUUACCACGGAGUGAUUCAUGACUGGGGUGAAGUCGUAACAAGGUAGCCCUAGGGGAACCUGGGGCUGGAUCACCUCCUUAACGA
rnacentral:rRNA from 1 species